GGGGAUUUAGCUCAUUGGUAGAGCGCUUGCCUAGCAAGCGCAAGGCCCUGGGUUCGAUCCCCAGCUCCA
rnacentral:tRNA from 1 species